GGAGUAUUGACGCUUGGCUGUGAACUGGUGUGGAGACGCUAACAGUGCAUUGCAAUGAGGCAGCAAAGAGAAAAGAUUAAACCCAUAGAUGAAGCUGAUGUGCCCAUGGCAUCGUCCUCCCUCAAAGAUGAUGAGCAGUGCAUUACAAUGAGACAAGCAAGACACAAGUUUAAACCCAAAGAUGAAGCUGAUGCGCCCGGGGCAUCGUCCUCCCUCAAAGAUGAUGAGCAGGGCACACUGAUCUUCCUCAUGUUGAUACGCCCAUGGCAUCGUCCUCCCUCAAAGAUGAUGAGCAGGGCACACUGAUCUUCCUCAUGUUGAUAUGCCCAUGGCAUCGUCUUCCCUCAAAGAUGAUGAGCAGGGCACACUGAUCUUCCUCAUGUUGAUACGGCCAUGGCAUCGUCCUCCCUCAAAGAUGAUGAGCAGGGCACACUGAUCUUCCUCAUGUUGAUACGCCCAUGGCAUCGUCCUCCCUCAAAGAUGAUGAGCAGGGCACACUGAUCUUCCUCAUGUUGAUACGCCCAUGGCAUCGUCUUCCCUCAAAGAUGAUGAGCAGGUGACUAAUUUUCUGCUGUUGUUAUUAUUACAACAAUAACACAACAUAGUUGUUUGGAUGUUGAUAGUGAGGUUGGUAGACACAGUUCUUACAGUGCUGGUUAACGUAAGAUACAUACAUUGUGAGGACUGCGUGUGUUUUGGAUAUGCAAGUCUAUUGAAAGAUGGGCUCUUCUUAAAAUGAACAAUUACAAAAUGCUGAAAAAAUGUGCCUUUUGUAAUGUUCACUUUUCUGCUUUGAAAUUGAUUUGCAUAAAUUGUAAAGGUGAGGAUUUUUGUUCAGUCAUUUUAGAUGAUUGUCUGUCAAGAUAUAACAAGUGGAAAUUUUUACCCGUAAUACUUAAUAUUUUAUGUUUUCAUCAAAAGAGAGAGAGGUUCCUCAUGAGUCUUGUUUUGUUGAGUAUGCCAUUAGAGUAGACUGUCCUACAUCGUCUUCGGUACAGGUUGUUUUGACUUUCAGAGGAAUGCAGACAAAUGUUUGCCUUCCAUCACUGGAUCUUGAAUGCAUCCUCAAAGCAUCUUGGGUAUCUUUAGAGCUUUAGUUAAUGCUGGUUGCAUGAUGUCUGAUCACCCAGAACUUGUGAUAAUGCUAGCUCUGAACUGGGUUACUGUCACAGUACAAAAUCGCAUGAGAAUAAGAGUGGGGGAAAUGACAAAUAAUUUCUUGACAAGCUAAGUAAAAGAAUCAGAGGACAAAGCGGAAAUGGAUUCUUUAUGAUUGAAAGUGGAAAAAAGAAAAACAUUAAGUAUGAUAUGUUGAAACUGGAUGGAAACAAAUGUCAGUUACUGUUUUUCUAUAGUUGUGUGGUUUAGAACCUAAAUGACAUAGUUGUUUUGUAUUUCGGUGUCCUGUGGCUUUCACAUAGAAGUUUUAUCUUUAAUAAUUUCCUCUGAGUUGUUGUUUUUUUUUUUUUUUUUUUAAAUGAGCUUGAUGUGCUGAUCAGAAUGUAGCUUUUAAGAGAUUGUCUUCAUCUAACAUGGCAAAAAGAUGAAGCCCAGUGUAAACCUAAAGCCCCACAUAUAUAUGUUUGUAAAAGUCAUUUAGUUUGCAGUAGGGCUGGGCCAUAUCAUACCGUUCACAGUAAUACCGGUAUAAUUUUGGGCAACGAUAAGAAAAUGAAAUAUCGCAAUAGAAUAUGGGUAAAAUGCACAUGCGCAGUGCCUUUGUUUUCAU